rnacentral:rRNA from 1 species
GACGAACGCUGGCGGCGUGCUUAACACAUGCAAGUCGAACGAAGCUUGAUUACGGAUUCUUCGGAUGAAGUAUGAUAUGACUGAGUGGCGGACGGGUGAGUAACGCGUGAGUAGCCUGCCCUUCAGAGGGGGAUAGCGUUUGGAAACGAACGGUAAUACCGCAUAAUGUAUUUUGACCGCAUGAUCGAAAUACCAAAGAUUUAUCGCUGAAGGAUGGACUCGCGUCUGAUUAGGUAGUUGGGGGGGUAACGGCCUACCAAGCCGACGAUCAGUAGCCGGACUGAGAGGUUGAUCGGCCACAUUGGGACUGAGACACGGCCCAGACUCCUACGGGAGGCAGCAGUGGGGAAUAUUGCACAAUGGGCGCAAGCCUGAUGCAGCAACGCCGCGUGAAGGAAGACGGUUUUCGGAUUGUAAACUUCUGUUCUUAGGGAAGAAUAAUGACGGUAGCUAAGGAGCAAGCCACGGCUAACUACGUG